rnacentral:rRNA from 1 species
AAACUGGGAUUAGAUACCCCACUAUGCCUGACUGUAAAUUACAAGCCAAAAAAGUACGAGCCACGCUUUAAACUUAAAGGACCUGGCGGUACUCUACAUCGACCUAGAGGGGUCUGUCCUAUAAUCGACAAUCCGCGAAAAACCCAACCAUCUCUUGCCAUCCAGCCUAUAUACCGCCGUCUCCAGCACAUUUUCCAAGAAAUGAAGCAAAACAGUCCCACACACUAGCACGUCAGGUCAAGGUGUAGCCCAUGAGAUGGAAGAGGCGGACCACAAUGCCGCAACACACAGAAACCACAUUGAAACAUGUGGAGGAAGAAGAAUUUAGCAGUAAGAGGGGCCGAAUGCU